rnacentral:sRNA from 2 species
AGCCUCUUGGAUGGAACGAACUGGUUAGACUUGCUUAUAUUUACGGCUUUGGACUCGCAAGUCCCUGGGUUAAAUUUCCACUGCAUAUCACGUCACCCAGUUGAUCCAGCUCCUCAUAAAACGAUGCCCCCAUCGCCUUGCGAAAGUUAUUUACUAUCUAAUCGUCCCUCAGUUAGGACUUUGAUAGCUCCAAAAAAGUAUUAACUCGGAACCUUUUCUACAAGUCAAAAAGGAAAUCCUUGAUACUGUUCAGUAUGUUUUUUAACUCCUUAAUUGCAUUAUUCGCAUGCAGAUAACCCUGUAUAACCUGUAAGCGACACUUUGCUGGAAAUUGAAACUUAUAUCAAGCCAAGAGACAAGACAAAUGGCAGGACAUAUUAAAAGGUAUGAUGGAGCUUUUGACAUGUGGCAACUGGUGAAAAUAACCUAUGUUAAAAGAUGACAACAAAAAACAACGCUUACAAUUAUUAUUGCUACUCAACACAAUAUCCAAGCCAGGUAUCACCCCUAUCUUGUUCAAUACACCAUUUACACCUCGGCUCCUGGUGACGGCAGUCAACACUCCAACGGCAACUAAGAGGCGUGCAAAGGUCACGAUAUGGUGACAAAAUAUUCAGUUUACGUGACUGCAGUCCCAUACUCUCUUUGUUGGCUUCAAGUUCUGGUAAUUGGAACGAAGGAAUACGAUCAUGAAAUGGAUUCCAAAUUUCGCUAUCAUCAAUUAAAGAGCUACUCUCUGACCAAUGUUUAAGAGAAUCUUUCGCCUCCUUGUUCAAGUAUACUUUACUUAGCAUAUUAAAAUCUUCCUUUGAAAGUUUCUGAUAGUCAAUAACUUUAUUGUCCCUGUUGAAGGAUCGCAAAAUCCCCGUAUUAUCGAGAUGAAAAAAUCCAUCAUCGUUGCCUUUCAUAUUGUCAAUAAUUGUAGACAGCGAAGUUGCUGCUAGGCG